rfam:Salmo salar isolate Sally breed double haploid chromosome ssa13, whole genome shotgun sequence.
UUUUUGUAAAUUUGUAAGUCGCUCUGGAUAAGAGCAUCUGCUAAAUUAUGUAAA